rnacentral:rRNA from 1 species
GCCAGACUCCUACGGGAGGCAGCAGUGAGGAAUAUUGGUCAAUGGCCGAGAGGCUGAACCAGCCAAGUCGCGUGAGGGAAGACGGCCCUACGGGUUGUAAACCUCUUUUGUCGGGGAGCAAAGCGAACCACGUGUGGUUCAUUGAGAGUACCCGAAGAAAAAGCAUCGGCUAACUCCGUGCCAGCAGCCGCGGUAAUACGUAGGUGACAAGCGUUGUCCGGAUUUACUGGGUGUAAAGGGCGCGUAGGCGGAUGUGCAAGUCAGUCGUGAAAUACCGGGGCUCAACCCCGGGGCUGCGAUUGAAACUGCACACCUUGAGUAUCGGAGAGGAAAGCGGAAUUCCUAGUGUAGCGGUGAAAUGCGUAGAUAUUAGGAGGAACACCAGUGGCGAAGGCGGCUUUCUGGACGACAACUGACGCUGAGGCGCGAAAGUGUGGGGAGCAAACAGGAUUAGAUACCCCCGUAAAA